rnacentral:rRNA from 1 species
GAUGAACGCUAGCGGCAGGCUUAACACAUGCAAGUCGAGGGGUAUAGGUUUUCGGACCUAGAGACCGGCGCACGGGUGCGUAACGCGUAUGCAAUCUACCUUUCACAGAGGGAUAGCCCAGAGAAAUUUGGAUUAAUACCUCAUAGUAUUAUAGAAUGGCAUCAUUUUAUAAUUAAAGUCACAACGGUGAAAGAUGAGCAUGCGUCCCAUUAGCUAGUUGGUAUGGUAACGGCAUACCAAGGCAACGAUGGGUAGGGGUCCUGAGAGGGAGAUCCCCCACACUGGUACUGAGACACGGACCAGACUCCUACGGGAGGCAGCAGUGAGGAAUAUUGGUCAAUGGGCGCAAGCCUGAACCAGCCAUGCCGCGUGCAGGAAGAAGGCGCUAAGCGUUGUAAACUGCUUUUGCAGGGGAAGAAACUUCCGGUUGCGACCGGGACUGACGGUACCCUGUGAAUAAGCAUCGGCUAACUCCGUGCCAGCAGCCGCGGUAAAA